rnacentral:lncRNA from 1 species
UUUAACCUCCCCGUGUGUGAGUGUGCUGCCACUCUGAGUGUAUUAGCUAAGUUAAUUUCCUGCUAGAUGUGAGAUUUCCGCUGCUAUGGACUCUGUUGUGAGACCAAAGUGUUUUAGCCAAAAAUUUGCCAAAGGGGGAGUUUGUAUGUGUUUAAUUGGCUGCAUUGUAUGGUAAAACACUAGCUGUGUUUGUUUGAAUGCAUUGUAUGUUAGAAUAUCUAGUUGUACUCUGAUGUCUUGGCUGAUGUCAUGACAUACUUGAG